CACCAGCUGACAGCCCCGAAAAUAUCGGCCUGAGGCAUCGGAAGCUUCAAGGACCAACAACACAUCUCCACGGCAAGCUCAGACUCCGUUAACGGAGAAACGCCGCCGACCCAUGGGAGGCGAGACCGACGUCGUCACUUCGCGUCGCGUCGUCGGGCGUACGAGUCGAGUGCAUUAGAGUACUUGUAUUGAAAUGCACUUGUACACUAAUCCUAUAAAAGCACUUUCUCUAUCACUGCCUAAAGUGGACCUGAACCUUUGGACCUGAUGUGAACUAGAAUGAAGUUGGCUGGACCUCAAGUACUCUGUGGAAGCUUCAAGGACCAACAACACAUCUCGGUACGACAAGUGGAGACUCGACCGUACAGACCCGUCCGGUCUCACACACGACGCCGUUAACGGCAAACGGAGAAACGCCGCCGCCGACCCGCGGGAGGUACUUUCUCCAUCACUGCCAUAAGUGGACCUGAUGUGAACUAGAAUGAAGUUGGCUGGACCUGCAGUGAAGUGGACCUGAAGCUAACUGGACCUCAAGUAGUCUGUGGAAGCUUCAAGGACCAACAACACAUCUCGGUACGACAAGUGGAGACUCGACCGUACAGACCCGUCCGGUCUCGCAUACGACGCCGUUAACGGCAAACGGAGAAACGCCGCCGCCGACCCGCGGGAAGUACUUUCUCCAUCACUGCCUAAAGUGGACCUGAAAUUUUGGA